UACGAAGGGUGCAAACGUUGCUCGGAAUCAUUGGGCGUAAAGCGCACGUAGGCGGCUUCGCAAGUCGGAUGUGAAAUCCCUCGGCUCAACCGAGGACGUGCAUCCGAAACUGCGAAGCUUGAGUACAGAAGAGGAUCGCGGAAUUCCCGGUGUAGAGGUGAAAUUCGUAGAUAUCGGGAGGAAUACCGAUGGCGAAGGCAGGUCUCUGGGCUAUAACUGACGCUCAUGCACGAAAGCGUGGGGAGCAAACAGG
rnacentral:rRNA from 1 species